rnacentral:rRNA from 1 species
UACGAAGGGGGCUAGCGUUGUUCGGAUUUACUGGGCGUAAAGCGCACGUAGGCGGAUCGAUCAGUCAGGGGUGAAAUCCCAGAGCUCAACUCUGGAACUGCCUUUGAUACUGUCGAUCUGGAGUAUGGAAGAGGUGAGUGGAAUUCCGAGUGUAGAGGUGAAAUUCGUAGAUAUUCGGAGGAACACCAGUGGCGAAGGCGGCUCACUGGUCC